rnacentral:tRNA from 1 species
UGGGAGAUCGUCUAAAGGUAGGACAACAGGCUCUGGCCCUGUCAGUGGGGGUUCGAAUCCUCCUCUCCCAA